rnacentral:lncRNA from 1 species
CUUCUAAUAAAUCCUUGGCACAUGGCCUCAACAAAAUAUCCUUAAAGAUUCAAAUCAAUAUCAACAGGUUCAUAGUGACACAUAAGGAAUGAAAACAUGACAACAAAUUCCCAUCCCGUUACGUAUCAGAGCCCUAGGACACAUGAGCCACCACUUCAGUUACUUUUCAAUACCUGCAAGUUACCCAUACGAAGGGCAACAAUUCCAAGCAGAAGGGGUGAGAUUCACAAACAAUAAUAAUAGGUAUAUAAAUC